UACAGAGGGUGCGAGCGUUGUCCGGAAUCACUGGGCGUAAAGGGCGCGUAGGUGGCUGCCCAAGUCCGUGGUGAAAGCUCGCCGCUUAACGGCGAGUCGGCCACGGAGACUGGGUGGCUCGAGCACUGUAGGGGCAGAUGGAAUUCCGGGUGUAGCGGUGGAAUGCGUAGAGAUCCGGAAGAACACCAGUGGCGAAGGCGGUCUGCUGGGCAGUUGCUGACACUGAGGCGCGAAAGCGUGGGGAGCAAACAGG
rnacentral:rRNA from 1 species